AUGUGCCAUCGUGGUUGCGCCGCCACCCACGCCGCUUCACUGCGAACACCAACACGAGGCCAAGAGGACCGGAGAGAAGUGCCCCGCAGAGGGAGAAGCAGCACCGAAGCCGAACGGGAGGGAACCACCUCCACCACCGUCGUGCAGGAGGCCAGAACCUCCGACACCGUCGCAGUAGCCGUCCGGACGCGGCAGCAGGGCAUGCCAGGCCACCCCUGGCCCGGCCAGGCCCGAAACAGGCCCACUAAGCCCCGCCGCCACGCUGCAGCAAGCCGGCGAUGGUGCCGCCAGCACCCUGCCGCUCAUCGCCUCUCCCCCGCCUCCCGGAAGCCAUGA
rnacentral:rRNA from 1 species